ACCCUCUAAGGCUUGUACCUGGUGAGUUUCUAGUACUCCACCAGUCUUGGCUACACGAGGCAGAGUCAAGCAGAGAGAGACCCAUUCCAUUCCUAGCUUGGGCAGUGGCUAGCAAGUGGAAGGCAAUCUGCUACAAAU